GGGUUGUGAGGUUAAGCGACUAAGCGUACACGGUGGAUGCCCUGGCAGUCAGAGGCGAUGAAGGGCGUGCUAAUCUGCGAUAAGCGCCGGUAAGGUGAUAUGAACCGUUAUAACCGGCGAUACCCGAAUGGGGAAACCCAGUGUGAUUCGUCACACUAUCAUUAACUGAAUCCAUAGGUUAAUGAGGCGAACCGGGGGAACUGAAACAUCUAAGUACCCCGAGGAAAAGAAAUCAACCGAGAUUCCCCCAGUAGCGGCGAGCGAACGGGGAGGAGCCCAGAGCCUGAAUCAGCAUGUGUGUUAGUGGAAGCGUCUGGAAAGGCGCGCGAUACAGGGUGACAGCCCCGUACACAAAAGCGCAUGUGCUGUGAGCUCGAUGAGUAGGGCGGGACACGUGGUAUCCUGUCUGAAUAUGGGGGGACCAUCCUCCAAGGCUAAAUACUCCUGACUGACCGAUAGUGAACCAGUACCGUGAGGGAAAGGCGAAAAGAACCCCGGCGAGGGGAGUGAAAAAGAACCUGAAACCGUGUACGUACAAGCAGUGGGAGCACCCUUUGGGUGUGACUGCGUACCUUUUGUAUAAUGGGUCAGCGACUUAUAUUCUGUAGCAAGGUUAACCGAAUAGGGGAGCCGGAGGGAAACCGAGUCUUAAUUGGGCGUUAAGUUGCAGGGUAUAGACCCGAAACCCGGUGAUCUAGCCAUGGGCAGGUUGAAGGUUGGGUAACACUAACUGGAGGACCGAACCGACUAAUGUUGAAAAAUUAGCGGAUGACCUGUGGCUGGGGGUGAAAGGCCAAUCAAACCGGGAGAUAGCUGGUUCUCCCCGAAAGCUAUUUAGGUAGCGCCUCGUGAAUUCAUCUCCGGGGGUAGAGCACUGUUUCGGCUAGGGGGCCAUCCCGGCUUACCAACCCGAUGCAAACUGCGAAUACCGGAGAAUGUUAUCACGGGAGACACACGGCGGGUGCUAACGUCCGUCGUGAAGAGGGAAACAACCCAGACCGCCAGCUAAGGUCCCAAAGUCAUGGUUAAGUGGGAAACGAUGUGGGAAGGCCCAGACAGCCAGGAUGUUGGCUUAGAAGCAGCCAUCAUUUAAAGAAAGCGUAAUAGCUCACUGGUCGAGUCGGCCUGCGCGGAAGAUGUAACGGGGCUAAACCAUGCACCGAAGCUGCGGCAGCGACACUGUGUGUUGUUGGGUAGGGGAGCGUUCUGUAAGCCUGUGAAGGUGUGUCGUGAGGCAUGCUGGAGGUAUCAGAAGUGCGAAUGCUGACAUAAGUAACGAUAAAGCGGGUGAAAAGCCCGCUCGCCGGAAGACCAAGGGUUCCUGUCCAACGUUAAUCGGGGCAGGGUGAGUCGACCCCUAAGGCGAGGCCGAAAGGCGUAGUCGAUGGGAAACGGGUUAAUAUUCCCGUACUUGGUGUUACUGCGAAGGGGGGACGGAGAAGGCUAUGUUGGCCGGGCGACGGUUGUCCCGGUUUAAGCGUGUAGGUGUGUGUUCCAGGUAAAUCCGGUUCACUUUAACACUGAGGCGUGACGACGAGGCACUACGGUGCUGAAGCAACAAAUGCCCUGCUUCCAGGAAAAGCCUCUAAGCAUCAGGUAACAUCAAAUCGUACCCCAAACCGACACAGGUGGUCAGGUAGAGAAUACCAAGGCGCUUGAGAGAACUCGGGUGAAGGAACUAGGCAAAAUGGUGCCGUAACUUCGGGAGAAGGCACGCUGACACGUAGGUGAAGUGAUUUACUCAUGGAGCUGAAGUCAGUCGAAGAUACCAGCUGGCUGCAACUGUUUAUUAAAAACACAGCACUGUGCAAACACGAAAGUGGACGUAUACGGUGUGACGCCUGCCCGGUGCCGGAAGGUUAAUUGAUGGGGUCAGCGCAAGCGAAGCUCCUGAUCGAAGCCCCGGUAAACGGCGGCCGUAACUAUAACGGUCCUAAGGUAGCGAAAUUCCUUGUCGGGUAAGUUCCGACCUGCACGAAUGGCGUAAUGAUGGCCAGGCUGUCUCCACCCGAGACUCAGUGAAAUUGAACUCGCUGUGAAGAUGCAGUGUACCCGCGGCAAGACGGAAAGACCCCGUGAACCUUUACUAUAGCUUGACACUGAACAUUGAGCCUUGAUGUGUAGGAUAGGUGGGAGGCUUUGAAGUGUGGACGCCAGUCUGCAUGGAGCCGACCUUGAAAUACCACCCUUUAAUGUUUGAUGUUCUAACGUGGACCCGUUACCCGGGUUGCGGACAGUGUCUGGUGGGUAGUUUGACUGGGGCGGUCUCCUCCUAAAGAGUAACGGAGGAGCACGAAGGUUGGCUAAUCCUGGUCGGACAUCAGGAGGUUAGUGCAAUGGCAUAAGCCAGCUUGACUGCGAGCGUGACGGCGCGAGCAGGUGCGAAAGCAGGUCAUAGUGAUCCGGUGGUUCUGAAUGGAAGGGCCAUCGCUCAACGGAUAAAAGGUACUCCGGGGAUAACAGGCUGAUACCGCCCAAGAGUUCAUAUCGACGGCGGUGUUUGGCACCUCGAUGUCGGCUCAUCACAUCCUGGGGCUGAAGUAGGUCCCAAGGGUAUGGCUGUUCGCCAUUUAAAGUGGUACGCGAGCUGGGUUUAGAACGUCGUGAGACAGUUCGGUCCCUAUCUGCCGUGGGCGCUGGAGAACUGAGGGGGGCUGCUCCUAGUACGAGAGGACCGGAGUGGACGCAUCACUGGUGUUCGGGUUGUCAUGCCAAUGGCACUGCCCGGUAGCUAAAUGCGGAAGAGAUAAGUGCUGAAAGCAUCUAAGCACGAAACUUGCCCCGA
rnacentral:rRNA from 2 species